CCUACGGGUGGCAGCAGUCGAGAAUUAUUCACAAUGGGGGAAACCCUGAUGGUGCGAAGCCGCGUGGGGGAAUGAAGGUCUUCGGAUUGUAAACUCCUGUCAUGUGGGAGCAAAUUAAAACGCUAGUACCACAUGAGGAAGAGACUGUUAAUGCUGUGCCAGCAGCUGCGGUCAUACAGCGGUUUUAAGCGUUGUUCGGAAUCAGUGGGCGUAAGGGGUGCGGAGGCUGUUUCGGAAGUCGUGUGUGAAAGGCGGGGGCUCAAACGUCGGAUGGCACCUGAUACUGGGAGACUCGAGGAAAGUAGAGGGAGGCGGAAUUCGCGGUGUAGCAGUGAAAUGCGUAGAUAUCGCGAAGAACACUGAUGGCGAAGGCAGGUUCCUGAAC
rnacentral:rRNA from 1 species